CCCUUAGAUGUCCUGGGCCGCACGCGCGUUACACUGAUGCAUUCAACGAGCUUAUAACCUUGGCCGAGAGGCCUGGGCAAUCUUGUUAACGUGCAUCGUGAUAGGGAUAGAUUAUUGAAAUUAUUAAUCUUGAACGAGGAAUUCCUAGUAAACGCAGAUCAUCAAUCUGCAUUGAUUACGUCCCUGCCCUUUGUACACACCGCCCGUCGCACCUACCGAUUGGAUGGUCCGGUGAGGCCUCGGGAUUGUGGUUCUUGCCGCUUUGUUGUGGCGUGACCGCGAGAACUUGUCUAAACCUUAUCAUCUAGAGGAAGGUGAAGUCGUAACA
rnacentral:rRNA from 1 species